UCCCUGGUGGUCCAGUGGAUAGGACUCUGCGUUUUCACUGCUGAGGGAGCAGAUUCAAUCCCUGGUCGGGGAA
rnacentral:tRNA from 1 species